rnacentral:lncRNA from 1 species
GAGAUCUUUAUUUUAAAUCCAUAUAUGCCCAUUUUCACGUUAAAAUAGAGCAAGAAAAAGAGUUUUUUCCCCAAAUGCUGAAAACACUGUUCAUAUGAACUGUUCCAAGAUGACACUGUUCAUAUGAACAGUGUUCCGUGAAAACACUGUUCAAAUGAACACUGUUAAAAAAAACAAAUUCCUUCCACUGUUUAUCUUCUUCCUCCCUGCAAGCAUCACGGCAUCCUCCCGACGAUCCCGCGACCAGAUCCUCCGGCCCUUCUUCCGCCCGUGACGCAUCCGGAGCCAAUCCCAUCUUCCUGCGAUCCGGCCUCCACCGAGAGCUCGUGAUCCAUUUCUUCCACCAUCUCAAAGCCUAUGAUUCAGCCUUCACCGCGUCCAUGCCACGCCCAUUAAGCCGUAAUCGGCUCCUCCCAGCUCCAUUCCGUCGAUCCUGCGUUCAUCUCCUCUUCUUCCAUCCGCACGUCAACAUCCCGUCGAUCCAGCGGCCCGCUCCAUUGAUCCGGCCAUCUGCAACCAAUCCGGCGCUCCACGGAUCACGCCUUCCUCUCGAGAUCCAGCCAUUUGAUGCCCUCCAUCCUCUUCGUCCGCGAUCUGCCCUCCAGCAUCACGCCCUAGGAAUCAGCAGCCCGUGAUCAUUUCUCCCUUNNN